rnacentral:rRNA from 1 species
AAGAGAGAGUUCAAAAGUACGUGAAACCGUUUAGGGGUAAACGGAAAAGAACUAAAAAUCCGAAAAGGGAGAUUCACGUCUUCUCAUAUGUUAAAUAUAAUAUUUUUUAGGAUAAUUAAUAAUAUAAUACUUUUGUAUUAUUUUUAUUAAUCGCCUUUAAUUNGUUAUAAAUAGCAAUGGUAGACCGCACUUCUCUCUUAGUAAGUCAUUUGGUUAAAAAACCAAAAGGCAUAACAAAAGUAAAGUAAGCUUUGCUUAAUUAGGGAGGAUAAUUAUUAACAAUAUACUUGUUAUAAUUCGCACUCCCGGGGCGUCUAUUACUUAUUGCAAGUAAAGGCGCACCUAGAGCGUACACGUUGGGACCCGAAAGAUGGUGAACUAUGCCUGGCCAGGAUGAAGCCAGGGGAAACCCUGGUGGAGGUCCGUAGCGAUUCUGACGUGCAAAUCGAUCGUCAGAGCUAGGUAUAGGGGCGAUAGACUUAUCGAACUAUCUAGUAGCUGGUUCCUUCCGAAGUUUCCCUCAGGAUAGCUGGUGCCAAUGAUGAUACGAGUCUCAUCUGGUAAAGCGAAUGAUUAGAGGCCUUGGGGCCGAAACGACCUCAACCUAUUCUCAAACUUUAAAUGGAUGAGAGCCUUGGCUUGCUUAAAAGUGAAGCCAAGGACUUGGAUCUAGGUGCCAAGUGGGCCAAUUUUGG